rnacentral:piRNA from 1 species
UGAUGUUCGGAAAGCCUGAUGGAUGU